rnacentral:misc_RNA from 1 species
GAUGAAGAACGUAGUGAAAUGCGAUAAGUAGUGUGAAUUGCAGAAUUCAGUGAAUCAUCGAAUCUUUGAACGCACAUUGCGCCCCUUGGUAUCCCGAGGGGCAUGCCUGUUCGAGCGUCAUUUCACCACUCAAGCCUGGCUUGGUGUUGGGCGACGUCCCCUUUGGGGACGCGCCUCGAAACGCUCGGCGGCGUGGCACCGGCUUUAAGCGUAGCAGAAUCUUUCGCUUUGGAAGUCGGGGCCCCGUCUGCCGGAAGACCUACUCGCAAGGUUGACCUCGGAUCAGGCAGGGAUACCCGCUGAACUUAAGCAUAUCAAUAAGCGAGGA